rnacentral:rRNA from 1 species
GACGAACGCUGGCGGCGUGCUUAACACAUGCAAGUCGAACGGAAAGGCCCUGCUUUUGUGGGGUGCUCGAGUGGCGAACGGGUGAGUAACACGUGAGUAACCUGCCCUUGACUUUGGGAUAACUUCAGGAAACUGGGGCUAAUACCGGAUAUGAGCUCCUGCUGCAUGGUGGGGGUUGGAAAGUUUCGGCGGUUGGGGAUGGACUCGCGGCUUAUCAGCUUGUUGGUGGGGUAGUGGCUUACCAAGGCUUUGACGGGUAGCCGGCCUGAGAGGGUGACCGGCGACAUUGGAACUGGGAUACGGCCCAAACUCCUACGGGAGGCAGCAGUGGGGAAUAUUGCACAAUGGGCGGAAGCCUAAUGCAGCAACGCCGCGUGCGGGAUGACGGCCUUCGGGUUGUAAACCGCUUUCGCCUGUGACGAAGCGUGAGUGACGGUAAUGGGUAAAGAAGUACCGGCUAACUACGUG